CGCAACGUAGCUCAGCCGGAAGAGCACCCCGUUUUCGACACUUUGGGAUUCUGUAGCAAGACCCAUUAUGGGCGGGGAGGUCGCAGGUUCAAGUCCUGCCGUUGCGC
rnacentral:tRNA from 1 species